AAGAAGGUAGAGGUGGAAGAGGAGGGAAUGGGAAUUGAGGCAGAGGAGGCCAUGGGAAUCCAUAGAAUGGUGGGAAGUAAGGGAGAAAAAACUUGGAGGAGUUAAAAGAACUUGCUAAUUCUUCCUCCUUCCUAUUGCCACAGAGGGAACAUUGCAAGCUUUGGAUGAGCUCCCUAUCAAACUUGCUUGGCACAUUGACUUGAUUGACACACCACUUAAGCAGUUAAUCUCAUCAACAGAAGUGACUGAAUGAGUUGAGUACCUGGGAGAAAGUAGCUGCUUCUGGAAAAUGUGUUUCUUGAACAAGUAUCACAAUAAACAGCUCCCACAACGGUGAUCCGAGCGGUUGGUGUUUUUGGUUGAUGAGCUAACGGAGCAAUGGGGUGACUGAGAAAACAUAUGAGAAGAAGAAGAUGUAAAAUGACUGUAUCCAUGGGAGAGGACCCCAACUGUGACCAGAGAGGUGAAAAUGCUUAUCUAUUCACAAGAAAACAAAGGCAUGUGAAGAACCUUUUGCCAGAUUGUCAGGGAAGAGGGACAUGGUGGGACUUUCAUUACAUCUGUAGCAAACUAACUGGUAG